rnacentral:rRNA from 1 species
CACGUAAGGGGCGAGCGUUGUUCGGAUUUAUUGGGCGUAAAGGGCGUGUAGGCGGCUUUGAAAGCCUGGUGUGAAAGGCUACGGCUCAACUGUAGUUAUGCGCUGGGAACUGCGAGGCUGGAGUUCUGGAGGGGAAGCUGGAAUUCCUGGUGUAGGGGUGAAAUCUGUAGAUAUCAGGAAGAACACCGGUGGCGAAGGCGAGCUUCUGGCCAUGAACUGACGCUGAGACGCGAAAGCGUGGGGAG